GACGGAGGGUGCAAGCGUUGUUCGGAAUUACUGGGCGUAAAGCGCGUGUAGGCGGCUCGCUAAGUCUGAUGUGAAAUCCCGGGGCUCACCCCCGGAAGUGCAUUGGAAACUGGCGAGCUCGAGUCCCGGAGAGGAGGGUGGAAUUCCUGGUGUAGCGGUGAAAUGCGUAGAUAUCAGGAGGAACACCGGUGGCGAAGGCGGCCCUCUGGACGGUGACUGACGCUGAGACGCGAAAGCGUGGGUAGCGAACAGG
rnacentral:rRNA from 1 species